rnacentral:rRNA from 1 species
AUUGAACGCUGGCGGCAUGCCUUACACAUGCAAGUCGAACGGUAACAGGUCUUCGGAUGCUAACGAGUGGCGAACGGGUGAGUAAUACAUCGGAACGUGCCCGAUCGUGGGGGAUAACGAGGCGAAAGCUUUGCUAAUACCGCAUACGAUCUACGGAUGAAAGCGGGGGAUCUUCGGACCUCGCGCGGACGGAGCGGCCGAUGGCAGAUUAGGUAGUUGGUGGGAUAAAAGCUUACCAAGCCGACGAUCUGUAGCUGGUCUGAGAGGAUGAUCAGCCACACUGGGACUGAGACACGGCCCAGACUCCUACGGGAGGCAGCAGUGGGGAAUUUUGGACAAUGGGCGAAAGCCUGAUCCAGCCAUGCCGCGUGCAGGAUGAAGGCCUUCGGGUUGUAAACUGCUUUUGUACGGAACGAAAAGCCUCUUUCUAAUAAAGAGGGGUCAUGACGGUACCGUAAGAAUAAGCACCGGCUAACUACGUG